rfam:Cavia porcellus supercont2_56 genomic scaffold, whole genome shotgun sequence.
GGGGAUUUAGCUCAGUGGUAUAAGCGCCUGCCUCACAAGCACGUGGUUGUGAGUUCGAUCCCCGGUUCCCG